UACGGAGGAUGCGAGCGUUAUCCGGAUUUAUUGGGUUUAAAGGGUGCGCAGGCGGGCUGUUAAGCCGGCGGUAAAAAUUCAGGGCUCAACCCUGUCGAGCCGUCGGAACUGGCAGUCUUGAGUGGGCGAGAAGUAUGCGGAAUGCGUGGUGUAGCGGUGAAAUGCAUAGAUAUCACGCAGAACGCCGAUUGCGAAGGCAGCUUACAAAUCUAUAUCGGACGCUGAGGCACGAAAGCGUGGGGAGCAAACAGG
rnacentral:rRNA from 1 species